GAGCGCCAGGUGGAGCGCGCCGCUGCCCAGGCACAGCGCGUGGAAGGCCCGCGGCUGGAAGCUCAGCACCAGUUGCGUGGCGGCGUCCCGCGUGGCGCAGCAGAAGGUCCCCAGGCGCGGGGAGGCCAUGCUCUUGGAAGGCAGAAGUGGCUUCUGGAAGUUUGUGUGUGGAAUGUGCUUUAAAAGAUAAAAAUGAAGAAGGAGAGUCUGUUCGUUUGCGCCAAUGCCGAAGGUUCCGGGAGCCAAUCUGUGCAGAAGCGUCACUGCGUUUCAAUCUCUGUCGCAAGCCCAAGCUGCAGGUACCCCGCCUCUCUGCUUCCCUCGUGCACACCUGCAGGCCCUGGAGGACUCAGGUGCCCAGCGUCCUCCAGAAUGGAGGUUGCCUACAAAGCUUUAAGAGGAUAAACAGCGUUGACGUGGCUUGUGUCUUGGUCUUCAACUCCUUUUCUGCCUCCUGGGGAGUUCAGUAGUUCUGCAAAUAUUCCACACGAUGGAUGGGUUUUGAACCCAGGCUUAGAAACCAAAGAGCCUCCUGACUUGUGGUUUUUGUUGGCAACUGACCUCACCUGGCAAGACCUGAGAGUCUUGGCUUCUGAAGGAAUCUUGUCCUUUCCUCUGAAGAAACAACAGAAGUGGAUGGAUUGAGAAGUAGCGCCUCAGUACAGCUUCAGCUCUGCAGCGGUCACAGAACGAAUCUGUCAGCUACGCCGUGUCAGCCUGGGAAGAGAUGAGACCGAGCAAGCCCUGGAAAGGAGAGGGUGGGAUUUGUGUCCUGAGAGGAAAAGGGAAACUAAACGAACAUGAAUAUCAUCGCUACCCCGACCGCCUUCCGUGAGCUGGCAGCAUUAAGAACUUCAAGUCUUGCUUAACUCGUACCCCCAUCCUUGUGGCCCAUCUUUUUAUCUCUAGGUUCUGUACAAAGCACCAGAAGAGGUGAGGAAACCUAUCCAAGGUCACGGAGGUGGUAGAGCUGAUGCUCAAAUCCAAGCAGAUUACGCCAUAAGGUCCAGAGGGGAACUGGAGAUUCAUUUCCCCGUCAACGUGAAUGUCUGCGAACUGGUCAGACCAAUGAAAGCACUUUCUCCACUCACCAUCUUGAAGCAACAAGAAGUCUGCUUUUGAGAAGUUGGAAGCAGGUCGCAGAUGGCCGAAUUUGAGGCCAUCAGAACGUGACUGCACUUUCAAGGAAGUUGGGGGUGGGGGCAGUGAAUAGGAUGGACACACACAUAUAUGUGUUACCUGUUUCAAACUUCGUUUAAAUGGUAUGUUUCUUUUUGUGGCACAGUAUACUAAUCUAGUAAAAUGAGAUGAAGUUA